rnacentral:lncRNA from 1 species
ACAGUCACUCUGAAGCUUGGUGCAGCACAAUCCCUUCCUUCACCUCAGAAAGAGUCACUAGAGGGGCAUCUCAUCACUUUGCUCUGUUCUCUGAGGCAGCUUUGGCAUCAUUCACACCUGAAGCUAUCAACCAAUAUGUGAAAGUUGGAUGCUUCUACGCUCAGUAACUAUACCAUUAAUUGUGAGACCAAAGUAAUGACGGAGGACAAGGACCAAGUACAGCUGUAUUAGAAGCAGGUGAAAUGUCAGGUCUUGUCGCAUAAAAUAAAAGCACUGGGACAAAUCCUUACUGUCUGUUACCAUGUUUUCUUAAAGUGUACAUCUCAUUAUGCAGACA